rnacentral:rRNA from 1 species
AGUGAACGCUGGCGGUAGGCCUAACACAUGCAAGUCGAACGGCAGCACAGUAAGAGCUUGCUCUUACGGGUGGCGAGUGGCGGACGGGUGAGGAAUACAUCGGAAUCUACUUUUUCGUGGGGGAUAACGUAGGGAAACUUACGCUAAUACCGCAUACGACCUACGGGUGAAAGCAGGGGAUCUUCGGACCUUGCGCGAUUGAAUGAGCCGAUGUCGGAUUAGCUAGUUGGCGGGGUAAAGGCCCGCCAAGGCGACGAUCCGUAGCUGGUCUGAGAGGAUGAUCAGCCACACUGGAACUGAGACACGGUCCAGACCCCUACGGGAGGCAGCAGUGGGGAAUAUUGGACAAUGGGCGCAAGCCUGAUCCAGCCAUACCGCGUGGGUGAAGAAGGCCUUCGGGUUGUAAAGCCCUUUUGUUGGGAAAGAAAAGCAGCAGGUUAAUACCCCGCUGUUCUGACGGUACCCAAAGAAUAAGCACCGGCUAACUUCGUG